UCUAAGGCUGAUGGCGACCGGCGCACGGGUGAGUAACACGUAUCCAACCUGCCUCAUACUCGGGGAUAGCCUUUCGAAAGAAAGAUUAAUAUCCGAUAGCAUAUAUUUCCCGCAUGGGUUUUAUAUUAAAGAAAUUCGGUAUGAGAUGGGGAUGCGUUCCAUUAGUUUGUUGGGGGGGUAACGGCCCACCAAGACUACGAUGGAUAGGGGUUCUGAGAGGAAGGUCCCCCACAUUGGAACUGAGACACGGUCCAA
rnacentral:rRNA from 1 species